rnacentral:rRNA from 1 species
UACGUAGGUGGCAAGCGUUGUCCGGAAUUAUUGGGCGUAAAGCGCGCGCAGGCGGUCCUUUUAAGUCUGAUGUGAAAGCCCACGGCUCAACCGUGGAGGGUCAUUGGAAACUGGGGGACUUGAGUGCAGAAGAGGAGAGUGGAAUUCCACGUGUAGCGGUGAAAUGCGUAGAGAUGUGGAGGAACACCAGUGGCGAAGGCGACUCUUUGGCCUGUAACUGACGCUGAGGCGCGAAAGCGUGGGAGC